ACUGACGGCAUUUUUAGCAAGAAUCACCGAAAACUGUUCAAAAUGACGUGCGAAAAUAGAAUAAAAAGUAAAAUUGCGGCGUGAAAAAAUAACAACAAACACGGCACAUAGCCUACGACAAAGUGAAAAUUCAAGCGCUGGCAAUUGAAAAACACGAAAAAAACAACAACAAAGCGCGGCGAGCGAGUUUCAUAUUAGUAUUUUUAUUAAAAACAGCUAACACUGCUCAUAAUUCUCGGUGCUUGGCCGUGCGCGCGUACACAUAACGUUGGCCAAAUCGCUCGAAUGCGCACGUUAUGUAAGCAGGACUUUUUGGACACUUUCGAAACGCGAAAAAAUCAAAUUUAAAUGCAAAUAAAAAAUAUUUAUUGUAAAUAAAGCAUUUACAAUGGUGAAAAAAACGAAAAUUUUUAUACAAGCUUAUGGAAAAUGAUGAAAAUUCAAGCGGUGUAAUACUUUAACGAAUAUUAAAUGCAAACGAAAUCGCGAAAACGCGUCAACUGACCAAAACAAACUACGACAAUCAAGCAAAAAUGUUGCUAUUUUAAUAAAAAAUAAAAUUACCAAUUUAAAUUAACGGUUUUUAUUCAUAUACAUACAUAUGUGUGUGUGCGCCAUGAGUUAUGGCCAUAAAAAAUUGUGCAAUUAUUUAUGACUAAUGCGAAAGUGCACAACCAACAACUGCAAUAAUAACGAGCAAAACCAAUUAAAAUAAUAAUAAUAACUUCAGCGCAGACGUUUUUGAUGUGAAUUGUUGCAACAAAAAUAAGCCAGUUCAUUCGUAAACAAUAAUAAACUGCGUCGUUGCACGCGCCGCGUAAGCGUCAAUGUCAGUACUUACGUAUAAUAUACAUAUGUAUGUAUAUAAGUAUAUACGCGAGGUGUGAAAGUGCUGAAGAAACAGCGCAAAUAUACGGAAAAGAAAAAAAGAAAAUUGAAAUUGUAAAAUAGCUGUAAAUAUGUAUAUAUAAAGCGAGCAGCGCUAAAAAAAGCAGCAAAACGCGAGCUGCACGCAUAAACAUUAAUUAACACAUACAAGCAAAUUGAUGUGAAAAAAUUUGCAAAAAAUCAACACAAAAAAUGUUAUGAGCAGUUUAAUUUACGAUCCUCAGAA